UUGUUGAAAGUUUGGAAAGUUAAUCUGAAAAUCACAAUAUGUUUCUUUCAAUGUUGAUUAUGGAUGUUAUUUCGAGUCGUCAAAUAUUGAAUCUUACAAAAAGCAAAUAGUGAUCAAUUGAAGAUCAAUUCCUGGACAUAAAUAAAAUGGAUUUGUUGAGGAACAAGGCGGUUCUAUACAGUACUGACUUAUAGGAGGGUUGUGUACUUCAGUUGGGGUUUUUUAUUCUUGUG